GAUGAACGCUGGCGGCGUGCCUAAUACAUGCAAGUCGAGCGAACAGACGAGGAGCUUGCUCCUCUGACGUUAGCGGCGGACGGGUGAGUAACACGUGGAUAACCUACCUAUAAGACUGGGAUAACUUCGGGAAACCGGAGCUAAUACCGGAUAAUAUAUUGAACCGCAUGGUUCAAUAGUGAAAGACGGUUUUGCUGUCACUUAUAGAUGGAUCCGCGCCGCAUUAGCUAGUUGGUAAGGUAACGGCUUACCAAGGCAACGAUGCGUAGCCGACCUGAGAGGGGGAUCGGCCACACUGGAACUGAGACACGGUCCAGACUCCUACGGGAGGCAGCAGUAGGUAAUCUUCCGCAAUGGGCGAAAGCCUGACGGAGCAACGCCGCGUGAGUGAUGAAGGUCUUCGGAUCGUAAAACUCUGUUAUUAGGGAAGAACAAAUGUGUAAGUAACUAUGCACGUCUGGACGGUACCUAAACAGAAAGCCACGGCUAACUACGU
rnacentral:rRNA from 1 species